rnacentral:sRNA from 1 species
AACUUAUCAUCAUCAUCUUUUUAUUUAGUCUCUCUUGUUCUCUGAAAACAUUUAUCGAAGGAUCAAUUAAACUUAACAAUCAUCUUCUUUCUCAAUUUCUUCUGAUACCUCAUCUCUAUCUUCUAAUUCUCAUCUUAAUUCUGCUAUUUCUUUGAUAAGUCUAUUUCGUGCUUAUCAAGAUUCAUGUUUUGGAUACAGUACUUCAUCCACAAAUAAAAGGAACGCUGAUAAAUCUGGUUUUAUGGUUCCGAGUCACUAGAGAGGGUCUGGAUUUAUUGGGACUACUAAUAACUUGGAAAGGAUUGGUGGGAAUGGAACGGUGAGGCUGAAUCAAAGGAUUUAAUUUGUUGGGGGCUUGGAGCUUGGUAACUGAUUCUUCAAUUUAAGUUUGGGUAUAGUGAGUAGACUUCAACUAAAAUGCUUUUGCGAAAAGAAUUUGGGAUUGAUUCGCAUAUUUAAUAAUGAUAUGUAAACAUUGGAAGUUCGGGACUUAGUAGUGAGAUUCCUUCAUCAUUUAAUAAUUUUGUGAACUUAGAAGAAUUUUGGGCACUUGUUUAUUGCCCUUGAGUUAAGGUUUUUUUUUCUAAAUUAAGCAAAAAUAAGUCACUUAACAAGAGAAC